rfam:Hypholoma sublateritium FD-334 SS-4 unplaced genomic scaffold scaffold_38, whole genome shotgun sequence.
GCCCGCUUAGCUCAGUGGUAGAGCGCGCCACUCGUAAUUACAAGUUAUGGUGAGGUCGGUUGUUCAAACCAGCCAGCGGGCA